GAGCGCCGUAGCAAUACGGAGCGGCAGACGGGAGAGUAACACGUGGGAACGUGCCCUUCAGUCCGGAACAACCCAGGGAAACUUGGGCUAAUACCGGAUACGUCCGUAAGGAGAAAGAUUUAUCGCUGAAGGAUCGGCCCGCGUCUGAUUAGCUUGUUGGUGAGGUAACGGCUCACCAAGGCGACGAUCAGUAGCUGGUCUGAGAGGAUGAUCAGCCUCACUGGGACUGAGACACGGCCCAGACUCCUACGGGAGGCAGCAGUGGGGAAUAUUGGACAAUGGGCGCAAGCCUGAUCCAGCCAUGCCGCGUGGAUGAUGAAGGCCCUAGGGUUGUAAAGUCCUUUCGGCGGGGAAGAUAAUGACGGUACCCGCAGAAGAAGCCCCGGCUAACUUCGUG
rnacentral:rRNA from 1 species